UACGUAGGGUGCAAGCGUUAAUCGGAAUUACUGGGCGUAAAGCGUGCGCAGGCGGUUGUGCAAGACAGAUGUGAAAUCCCCGGGCUUAACCUGGGAACUGCAUUUGUGACUGCACGGCUAGAGUGUGUCAGAGGGGGGUAGAAUUCCACGUGUAGCAGUGAAAUGCGUAGAUAUGUGGAGGAAUACCGAUGGCGAAGGCAGCCCCCUGGGUCAACACUGACGCUCAUGCACGAAAGCGUGGGGAGCAAACAGG
rnacentral:rRNA from 1 species